AAAUACCGACGUUGUAGUGAAAACACAACGACAGUAUAUUAUAACAGACGUUUGAAAUCAUUUACAACGUCAGUAUUUUCUUGAAACCGUCGUCUUAAUUGAAAUACCACGUCGUUUGUGUUUUUCAUUUUAGGAUGUUUUAAUUUUUUCUGUUCAACUUUCAUUUAAAAACAACUUUGGUUAUACGUUGUUUUUCGUCCUAACCGACG
rnacentral:lncRNA from 1 species